UCAUAAAGUCUUCUAUCUUUCAACACUGCAACUGGCAAUUGAUUAAAAGCUAGGUUCUUGAAGCGUCCACCGCUGAAAAUACCAUUUUCAGUUCGAUUUAUUGGUUAAACAUGCCACCAACUCGUUAAACCAUCCACAACCACGAUCGAAUCCUCCAUUAUUUAUAGUUACAUUGCUUAUAACUUUCUUAUUCAUAAACUGCAGCAUGAAAGAGAUGAUUAUUAGAACUACCAGCCUUGGAAUGGUGAAGGCAAGAAGGAUAGAUGCGACAGCUUUCUUCAUUAUUCUGUGUGUGUUUGGGUUUGUGGGGGUGGGCUAGGCUUGGUGAUUUCACAGAUAAACAGUGACCAAAAACCCUAAUUUUCUAUUUCUGUGAUUUUCUUAAGAGGGUACAAGGGGGGAUUUGAACGUUCUUUCCAAAAAUAGGUUUGUCUUUAGUUUACAGAUCUCACUCCUGUAGGCUGUGGCCUUUAAUGUUUAUGACAAAAGCAAAUCUAUGAACCGUUGGAUAAAGAUAUUUUGGUCAAGAGCUGGUGCGGUUAAGUCUGUCUCUGUGUGUGAGAGAGUGAGAGAGAGAGUCAUACUGACAGAAGAGAGUGAGCAUAAGCAGGCAAUUGUAUGGAGAGUAUACAUUUGUGGAUGCGUGUGCUCACUUCUCUUUCUGUCAGCUUAAUUCCCUCUCUUCCUUUCUCGUUUAUGGCUUUUGCUUUUACAUCCCCAACCCGCAAUUGUAUGGAGAGUAUACAUUUGUGGAUGCGUGUGCUCACUUCUCUUUCUGUCAGCUUAAUUCCCUCUCUUCCUUUCUCGUUUAUGGCUUUUGCUUUUACAUCCCCAACCCCGACGUGUUCGUUCGACUCGCAGGGAUCGAGUCUACACACUAACCCAAGACCUAAAAUUGCUUGCUUUAUUGAAAACUGAAAAGUAAAGCAAGAUGAACAGAAGUGACGGGGCUGCAAUUUCAAGAAGAUGAAGGGACUCGCAAAGAAAGCCAGCCACUUAAAAAAUGACUAUUCAAAGCUAUUCAACCACUACAGCCACACAUAUGCAGCCAUAAAUGCUCCUACCAGCUCAGGCUUCACUGUGUAUCCCAUUAUCCUAUCCUGAUAGGUCACCUGUACAAAUAAACACAAUUUUCUGUUUUACUUUCUUGGUGGAAAAAAUUGACCACUUUCUUCCAGCAGGAGAGGUUCAACCACUUUAGUUUUUGGCAUUUUCUUGAUGUGAUUUUGUUUAUCCACUUAAUUUUUAGCAUUUCUUUGAUCUUAUCCAUCAUAGUGUGAUGGAGAUUGGAAGCUCUCGAAUUUUGAUGUCUCUUCUGAAGAGAAUGAAGUGGGUUUGGAAAGGACCGUAAGGUACUAUUUUGAUUUAACGGAAAAACUUUGUGUUUUCUUGGGGCCAUCAGGCGAUUAAAAUAUAUUUAACCUAAUAUUAUACUGUUUAUCUUGCCAUUUCCGUCCACUAUCUGCAACAAAAAUACAGUGAUUUUGCUGAAAUCUUUCAUAUUCCCUCUGCCUCAACUAAACUCUAGAUCCAACCAGCUGGACCUUUUUCCUUUGUAACUAGCAAAGAAAGGGUCUUGAUCCCGUGAAUUACUUCUGAAGAAUUUAGGAAUCAUCAAAUUUUGUUUCUAAGUGCAAAAACUUGGGUUUUUAUUUCUUCGUGGUCUGAUUUAAAAGUAUGUGGUUCUUUCUAUCCUAUUUCUGGCAGAAAAUUUGAUUCUUUUAUUUAUAUUUUAUGUGAUAUAAUUUCUUAGACAAUUAACGCAGUUUUAAUUCUAUUUCUAGAUCUUGAACAUCGUAUGGUAAUGUUUACUUUCUAUUGAGUGCAAGGAACUUUGGGUGCUACCUGAACGUGGGAAGGCUUUUGGUUUUCUUCAGCGGGAAGAUACCCAGAGAAUCAUGGGCAUAUGGAGAAGAAAGGGAAUUUUCCAUGUACAGCAGAUCCUUCAUAUGAUUAUCAAAUUGCUCACGGACGAAGUUGGGAUUUUUUGUGGGAACAUCUGCAUCCAGAUCUUUAAGAGAUUAUUUCCCUCUUAGGCUUUUCUUCAAGAUAGCAUGCUGAAUUUCAUGAGCUUUCGUUCGGAUAAGGCUAGAGGAAGAUUUUGGUUCCAACGAUGGAGGUUUCGUAAAAAGGAUCGGAGGCAUUCCACUGGUUACAGGGUCGAAAUUCACAGUAUUGGUGGUCAACUUGUGCAUCAUACUUUCAAACAGUUCAUUUAAAAGUUUAAAUACUCGAAAUGUUGACCAUAUUUAGUUCAUGUUUGGCCUUAUUUUUUAGAACUCAUUUUUUUUUCUCAAAUUCAUUUUCAAUAACACAUUUUAUGAGAUCCGCAACUUUUAUCAA